rnacentral:rRNA from 1 species
CCUACGGGAGGCAGCAGUGGGGAAUUUUCCGCAAUGGGCGAAAGCCUGACGGAGCAAGACCGCGUGGGGGAAGAAGGCUCUUGGGUUGUAAACUCCUUUUCUCUGGGAAGAACAAAAUGACGGUACCAGAGGAAUCAGCAUCGGCUAACUCCGUGCCAGCAGCCGCGGUAAGACGGAGGAUGCAAGCGUUAUCCGGAAUGAUUGGGCGUAAAGCGUCCGCAGGUGGCAGUUCAAGUCUGCUGUCAAAGACCGGGGCUCAACCUCGGAAAGGCAGUGGAAACUGAACAGCUAGAGUAUGGUAGGGGCAAAGGGAAUUCCUGGUGUAGCGGUGAAAUGCGUAGAGAUCAGGAAGAACAUCGGUGGCGAAGGCGCUUUGCUGGACCAUAACUGACACUCAGGGACGAAAGCUAGGGGAGCGAAUGGGAUUAGAUACCCCAGUAGUCC